CGAUGCCAAGGUGUAGGUUCAAUUCCCAGCCUGUGCAGUGUCCGUGGGUUAAGGAUCCAGCAUUGCCACAGCUACGGCAUAAUUUGUAGCUGUGGCUCAAAUUCUAUCCCUGGUGAGAAAAUAAGUAAAUAGGAGUUCCCGUCAUGGCUCAGUGGUUAACGAAUCCACCUAGGAAUCAUGAGGUUGCAGGUUUGAUCCCUGGCCUUGCUCAGUGGGUUAUUAAGGAUCUGGCGUUGCCGUGAGCUGUGGUGUAGGUCACAGAAUCCCAUGUUGCUGUGGCUGUGGUGCAGGCCAGCAGCUACAGCUCCGAUCUGACCCCUAGCCUGGGAACCUCCCUAUGCCGUGAAAAAACUCAGAGAAUCAAUAAUCUUUUUCUCCCCUUUUUUCCCUGCCACUCGGCAUAUGGAGUUCGGGCCAGGGAUCAGAUCUGAGCCACAGUUGAUGCAGCAGUGCCAGAUCCUUAACCCACUGUGCUGGGCCAGGGGUUGAACUUGUGUCCUGGCACUGUUGAGAUGCCACAGAUCCUGUGGUGCCACAUUGGGAACUCCAGUUCAGUGAUUCUUAACCUUUUUGGUCUCAGGUCCCCUUAUGCUCUUAAAAAAUAUGAGAGGAGUUCCCUGAUGGCCUAGUAGUUAAGGACUUAGUGUUGUCACUGCUGUGGCUUGGGUUACUUCUAUGACUUGGAUUCGAUUCCUGGCCCAGGAACUUUUGCAUACCAUAGGUACGGCCAAAAAAAAUUAUUGACUCCAAAGAGUUUUUGUUGAUGUGGAUUAUAUUUAUCCAUAUCUACUGUAUUAGAGGUUAAAACUGAGAAAUUUAAGUAAUAUUAAUUUAUUCAUUUAAAAAUAAUUUUAAAAACCAAUUUUAGGUGAACAUAAAUAAUAUAUUUAAAAUUCAAAACAAUGGUAUUUUCCAAAACAAAAAGAAAAUUUAAUGAGAACAGGGACAUGGUUUCACUUUUUUUUUUUUUUUUUUUUGUCUUUUUGCCUUUUGAGGGCUGCUCCCGCAGCAUAUGGAGGUUCCCAGGCUAGGGGUCGAAUCAGAGCUGUAGCCACUGGCGUACACCAGAGCCACAGCAACACGGGAUCCGAGCGCAUCUGCGACCUACACCACAGCUCACGGCAAUGCCGGAUCCUUAACCCUCUGAGCGAGGCCAGGGAUCAAACCUGCAACCUCAUGGUUCCUAGUCAGAUUUGUUAACCACUGAGCCAUGAUGGGGACUCCUGGUUUCACAUUUUUCAGAAGAAAGCUGGAUCUUCACAUCUGCUUCUGUGCACAGUCUGCUGUGAUUCUGUGCAGGCUGCUCUGUACACUCAGGACAAAAUGAGAGUGAAAAGGGCAGGGAAGGAGUGUCCAUGAGGAUGCAGGCUUGAUCCCUGGCCUCGCUGACAGCCUACACCACAGCCACGCAGGAUCUGAGCCCUGUCUGCAACCUACACCACAGCUCACGGCAAUGCCAGAUCCUCGACCCACUGAGAGAGGCCAGGGAUCGAACCUGCAACCUCAUGGUUCCUAGUCAGAUUCAUUUCUGCUGCGCCAUGACAGGAACUCCAAGUUGCAGUUUCAUCUCUUACCUUCCCAUCUUUGCAUCUCAUUUAUUUUGCUGGUCUUACGGCUUUGCAAAGACUGUCGGGACUAUGUCAAAAGGCAAAGUUGAUUCUUAUAUACUCCCCAUCACAGCCUUCUGAGAUGUCUUGUCUUGUUAUCCCUAUUUUAUAGGAGAAACUGAGGCACAGAGAGGUUAGCCUCUUGACCAAAGCCACACAGCAAGUAAGCAAACUAACCAGGACUCCACCAAAAGCUUGUGUUCUCAAGCCCAGCCUUAAAAGAAAACUCACUAAGUAUCCUGUAUUUUCUCAACAGGAAAAUACCCUGCAAGUUCCCACAGUGACCCCGGGAUCUUGGAGGAGGAGGUUCUGGGGACCUGAGUUCUGGUUUUGGCUCUGCUUUCUUUCUGAGCCUCACUUUCCUCGUGUGAGGAGACAGCAUCUGAAAGACACAAGAACUCUGUCUUCAGGGUGGAAGGUGACGGGCCCCCAAACACUGUAUUCAUUUCCUGUGGCUGCCUAACAAGUUCCCACAAACUUGGUGGCUCAACACACCAGAAAUAUAUUCCCUCUCUUCUGGAGGCCAGAAAUAUUAAAUCAAGGUGGGGCCAGGGCCGCAUCCCAUGAAGCUUCUAGAGGAAGAUCCUUCCUUGCCUCCUCCAGCUUCUAGGGGCUCCAGGUGGUCCUGGGCUCGUGGCCCCAUCACUCCGGUCUCUGCCUCCAUCUUCACAUGGCCCCUUCCUCUGCCAUCUGUGUUCCGUGUCCCUCUGGCAGGGUUCUGUGGACUGUAGUUUGAGAAUCGCUCCUUCCCUUUGGGUUCUAUAGGGCCUAGAGACAGUAUCCUAGGAACAGAACACCUCUUGUGCCAGGCGACCUGGUUCAAAAGACAGUUCUGGUGGCUCAGCAGGUUAAGGAGCUGGCAUUGUCACAGCUGU
rnacentral:lncRNA from 1 species